ACUCCUACGGGAGGCAGCAGUGGGGAAUAUUGCACAAUGGGCGCAAGCCUGAUGCAGCCAUGCCGCGUGUAUGAAGAAGGCCUUCGGGUUGUAAAGUACUUUCAGCAGUGAGGAAGGUGGGUAUGUUAAUAGCAUAUUCAUUUGACGUUAGCUGCAGAAGAAGCACCGGCUAACUCCGUGCCAGCAGCCGCGGUAAUACGGAGGGUGCGAGCGUUAAUCGGAAUUACUGGGCGUAAAGCGCAUGCAGGUGGUUGUUAAGUCAGAUGUGAAAGCCCGGGGCUCAACCUCGGAAUUGCAUUUGAAACUGGCAAACUAGAGUACUGUAGAGGGGGUAGAAUUUCAGGUGUAGCGGUGAAAUGCGUAGAGAUCUGAAGGAUACCGGUGGCGAAGGCGGCCCCUGGACAGAUACUGACACUCAGAUGCGAAAGCGUGGGAGCAAACAGGAUUAGAUACCCCUGGUAGGUCAGUC
rnacentral:rRNA from 1 species